ensembl:lncRNA
GAGACCCUGUUCCAGUGCCUGAUCACGCUCUGGGUGAAGAAACUUUUCCUAAUACCCAACCAAAACCUCUCCUGACAGAGCUUCAGGCCAUUCCCUCAGGUCCUGUCACUGGUCACCAGAGAGAAGAGAUCACUGCCACUCCUCCAGCACUCCCCUAGACCUUUCACCAUCUUUGUAGCCCUCCUUUGGAUGCUUUCUAAUGGCUUUAUUUCUUCUGUUGUGGUGCCCUAAACUGCACAUAGACUUGAGGGUGAGGCCACAGCAGCACAGAACACAGCAGUCUCUUUCCACUCUCUCCAGCCUCUCAUUCCUCAGUCUGUACCUACAUCCAGGGUUUCCUGUUAUAACAUUCCCUGUUAUUUAAUGUGUUUAGCAGGAAAACCACACAGGUGAAUACCUGGCUCAGAGCCUGGUGUUACCAGCGGAAUUUUGGGGGCUUUGAUCACAGGUCAGCUUUCAGGCCUGGUGGCUGCAGUGGGGUGCACCUGUCUCAAAGGGGAGAGGGAUCUCUGCUCAGGAGUCAGCAUGGCUUGUUGAGACAACUGUAAAUUAGAUUUCAAGGAGAAGGGGUUAAGCCUGACUCACUAAGGAUAAGCUUAGGGGCGGCACGCUGGUUUUAGAAGGACAGUUGCAGAGGUAGGAAAUGGUGUCUUUAAUAGUAAUGAAACUGUAGCAAAAGGAGAUGGGAAAAUCUAGUUUCUUGAUAGAAUGCUGUCUGACAAAAAUAGUCAAAAGUCACUUGCAGUUGGCUCUUUUAUGUAGUCUUUAUAGGGAGCUUUUGAUAUAGAUUUCUGAGAAGAAAGACCUGAGUGGCUCUGUACUCCCAUGCACAGUGCUGCCUCCCAAAAUAGGGCCACCCUUCUCCACUUCUGCUCCUUCCAUGCUCAUGCAGAAACAGGAAAUUCAGCAGUGGGCAGACUGAGGAAUUCAGGGACAGUGGAAGCACCUUGGGGAGCCCUGGUGGAGGCUGUGGGCUGUGAGGUCACAGAGCCCCUCUGGCAUGUUCCGUGCCAGCUGGGGGCAAUGCUGCAGCAGCAGCAUGCUGUGAGGAUGGGGGGCAUGGUGCUCACCCAGUGCCUCCUCCUCUUUCUGGUGCUCCUGCAAGCCCAGGACACGCAGCCUGCUCCAGCUGGAGGGCAGGGAGCAGAUGUGGCCAGAGAGAGGGCUUUUCCACCUCCUCAGGAGGAUCCUGUGCUGGUUCCCGGCUUGUAUCACUCGGAGCAAGAGGCUGAAGAAGAAGCCAUGACUCAGGCUCCUGAAUUGCUGAACAUGUACUAUAUUCUAGGGAUUACAGUAGUCUCGUGUGUGCUGCUGCUUUGGGUAAUUGUGUGUUGCAUAGCCAUGUCAUGGCUGCUGGAGAAAGACAAGGUGCCCCAGAGAUGUGGAGCAGCACUGGGACAAGCUGAUACUGGCUGUCUGGAAAAGCCAAGAUCAAAGAAGAGGUAGAGGUGAGGCAGAGUCAGAAGGACCAGGAUGCAGAUCUCCCAACUCUGCCCACUUGUUUCAGCUGCUCUCUGGCUGGUGCUGCCUCUUCACAGGCUACUGGGUAUCUGUGGAUUCACCUCAUCCCACAUCAUCCCAGUGUCCCAGUAUCAACAGGGAUAUUGUGCCUCGGAAGACUAUCAUUUUUUCAAUGAAUAAUAUAUAUUUUUCUUUUUUUUGCUAAAGAAGUGAGUUCUUGGCUGUUUUGGCUGUUUCUGUUUGGGUAAAAAGCACAGAGCUGGUGUGUGUCUGUGAGAGAGGCUGUCAGAGACUUGCACUGCAGCGUGGGACACCUCUGUAUCAGCAUCAGUCUGUUUUCUUCACUAGGGCCAUCAUCAAGGCUUCCCUCCACCAGAAUGGAGACUUGCUGGUGACACAUGAGGUGCAAAGGCUUGUCCAUGAGCUUACUUGAGAUGUUGCCCUGAAUCAGGAUUGUCUGGGUAGAGAGGGAAGGAGGGAUAGACACCCAGUGCUGAGCACAUCAAGGAGGGCUGAUGGGGUAACAGAGGCUGCAGAUGCAGCAGUGUCCCCCACCCCAGAGCUCGGAGAUGAUAAAUGAGUGGAAAGUUGGAGCAGGGCUGGGUGGGAGAGCAGAGAGA